GAUGAACGCUGGCGGCGUGCCUAAUACAUGCAAGUCGAGCGAACAGACGAGGAGCUUGCUCCUCUGACGUUAGCGGCGGACGGGUGAGUAACACGUGGAUAACCUACCUAUAAGACUGGGAUAACUUCGGGAAACCGGAGCUAAUACCGGAUAAUAUAUUGAACCGCAUGGUUCAAUAGUGAAAGACGGUUUUGCUGUCACUUAUAGAUGUAUCCGCGCCGCAUUAGCUAGUUGGUAAGGUAACGGCUUACCAAGGCAACGAUGCGUAGCCGACCUGAGAGGGUGAUCGGCCACACUGGAACUGAGACAAGGUCCAGACUCCUACGGGAGGCAGCAGUAGGGAAUCUUCCGCAAUGGGCGAAAGCCUGACGGAGCAACGCCGCGUGAGUGAUGAAGGUCUUCGGAUCGUAAACCUCUGUUAUUAGGGAAGAACAAAUGUGUAAGUAACUAUGCACGUCUUGACGGUACCUAAUCAGAAAGCCACGGCUAACUACGUG
rnacentral:rRNA from 1 species